CACACAACAAUGCAACUGUAGUAGAGCAAAUGACUGUUAAUCAUUGGGUCCCUGGUUCGAGUCCAGGUCGCGGAGCCA
rnacentral:tRNA from 1 species